UGUGCUGUCAGUAAGAAGGUAGCCGGCGCCUUUCGAAGCACUUUCUAAUGUGCGCUUUAGUUUGAUUGCAGCUAGCGCGCUUGACUAAUAAGAUAGAAAGGGCUUUUCUCGCUUGUUUAGUAAAGUCAAGUUUUUGGCCUUAUCUUGCAGGUGACGACGACGUCGAGUUGACGGCAGAGAAAGACUCGGUAUUCAGGCGAGC
rnacentral:lncRNA from 1 species